GGAUGUGAGGGUGACAUCUGUCACCCUAAUGACCACCAGGGUUGAUUCGGCUGAUCUGGCUGGCUAGGUGGGUGUUCCCUUUCUCCCUCACCGCUCCAUUUGUGUCCCUCCCAAAGCUGCGUGCUUGGUCGAAUAAGAUGGCCUUCCCCAAAUAGAGAAGGCCCUGUCUUCAGUCAAGGAGUUGCACUCCCCUGCUAGAACCUCCAAACAAGCUCUCAAGGUCCAUUUGUAGGAGAACGUAGGGUAGUCAAGUUUCCGAGACUCUAGACACAUCCAAAUGAGGUGCUGCAUGUGACAGUCUGCCUUUCUCA
ensembl:misc_RNA 7SK 7SK RNA